UCUCUUGUAGCUUAGCUGGUAAAGAAUCUGCCUGCAAUGUUGGAGGCCUGGGUUCGAUACCCAGUUUGGGAA
rnacentral:tRNA from 1 species